CAUAAGUAACUUCUAGGUCUCUAAAGGUCACUGAGAAAAAGCCUUUACCUUAAAGCACGACUGCACCCCGGCCAAGGGGACAACGUGACACACAAAGGAGGUGACCCUGCAGUGCGACAGAUCUGAAUGCAUGGAGUACAGAUGGAGCAUCUCCGAGGGAUGUGGUCUGAGGAAUCACAAGUGAAGUUGAUGCAAACUUGACGCAACACCAAGCACUUCCAUCCGAACUUCAACGGAAAUUCUGAGCAAAGCAGGUUGGAUGACAGGCACACCAGCACCCACCUUGAGAAGAGCAAUUAUGCAUGUUGGUGGCAGAGUGUAAGUGCUACACAUCCCCUUCCAGCAGCACCUGGAGACACUUCCAGAAGGAUCUGCCUGGACACAACGUGCUGUUUGACCAAACCUUCUUGUUGUAAAGCGAAGUACUAAAGCAAGCCAAAUUCAUGGAAGGAGAAGCACUUACUUAGGUAAGGUUUCUUGAUACAAAUAAUUAAGCCGACUUCACUUAUGUGAUUCUAAGAUUUUUACCUGAAUUAUUAGUACUUUUAAAUUCUAC
rnacentral:lncRNA from 1 species